GGGGGUGUGGCUCAGUGCUAUAGCACUAGCCUAGUGUGGUAGAUGCUCUGGGUUCCAUUCCCAGCACUCA
rnacentral:tRNA from 1 species